AACUUAAACCGCAACCCGAUCUUAAGAGCCUAAGUAGUGUUUCCUUGUUAGAAGACACAAAGCCAAAGACUCAUAUGGACUUUGGCUACACCAUGAAAGCUUUGAGAAGCAAGAAGAAGGUUGGCUUAGUGUUUUGGAGUGAAUAUGACUUGAUGUCAUGUGUAUGAUUGAGUAUAAGAAUUUUUACCGCAACCCGAUCUUAAAAGCCUAAGUAGUGUUUCCUUGUUAGAAGACACAAAGCCAAAGACUCAUAUGGACUUUGGUUACACCAUGAAAGCUUUGAGAAGCAAGAAGAAGGUUGGUUAGUGUUUUGGAGUCGAAUAUGACUUGAUGUCAUGUGUAUGAUUGAGUAUAAGAACUUAAACCGCAACCGGAUCUUAAAGGCGUAAGAAUUGAAUCCUUAUUAGAAGACACAAAGCCAAAGACUCAUAUCGACUUUGGCUACACCAUGAAAGCUUUGAGAAGCAAGAAGAAGGUUGGUUAGUGUUUUGGAGUCGAAUAUGACUUGUUGUCAUGUGUAUGAUUGAGUAUAACAACUUAAACCGCAAGU
rnacentral:sRNA from 1 species